rnacentral:rRNA from 1 species
UUGACGGGGCCCGCACAAGCAGCGGAGCGUGUGGUUUAAUUCGAUGAUACGCGAAGAACCUCACCCAGGUUUGACAUGCACGUGGUACUGAUCCGAAAGGUGAUGGACCCUUCGGGGAGCAUGCACAGGUGUUGCACGGCCGUCGUCAGCUCGUGCCGUGAGGUGUUGGGUUAAGUCCCGCAACGAGCGCAACCCCUGUCGCCAGUUGUAUUUUCUGGCGAGACUGCCGAGAAAACCUCGGAGGAAGGAGGGGACGAUGUCAGGUCAGCGUGGCCCUUACGCCUGGGGCUACACACACGCUACAAUGGGCAGUACAACGGGUCGCGAAGCCGCGAGGUGGAGCUAAUCCCAUCAAAGCUGUCCUCAGUUCGGAUUGCAGGCUGAAACCCGCCUGCAUGAAGCCGGAGUUGCUAGUAACCGCAGGUCAGCAUUACUGCGGUGAAUACGUUCCCGGGCCUU